AAAACUGGAAAAUAAUAUAUAGCAACAAAUAGUAAUAAACAAUUGUGUGAGCCAUUCACCACAAAUUUUCGCACCUUGAUUUCUAAAAUGUUUAUCCUAAAACUAAUAUCCUGCAAUUAUAGGUUAUCUGAGAUUUAACACUAAUUAGUGCGUACAUAGUAAUAAGAUUGUCCGAAGAAAUAUUUGAAAUUUUGAAAAACAUUAUGAAAACUUUCCUAGCUAGCGCUUCUGAAAAACAGAACCAAUCUGUGCAAUCCGAAAUUAUUGCUCAUCAUCAGGUCAUGUUUCUUCAUGUGUACUCAGCCACGGCGAGAAAUACAAUUUUCCUGCCUGCAAAAGGUUCUUAUAUUAGAUUAUUAUUGAGCAACAUUGAAGAUGAAGAUCAGUGAAAAGCUAAAAGCACUUCAGUGUAGCAAUAGAAUAUGCAGGAACCAAGAAUAUAAAAAAAUAGACUCGCUGAAAUUGAAAGUGCUGUAACUGCUAGUGCUAGCGCCUGUGUCAUUGUGGGAUCAACUUGCGGAUCGCGCACAUAGUUCAGGCUCCAUGCAACCAUUUUGAUGACGGUGAAGAUGCAACGGGGAAUACCUUAUUUUGUAGGAUACGGCAUCGUCACUGGAGAGGACAAAGAUAUCGCUGAAGAUCCAUCAGGCGAGGCCGCACCCGCACGCUCAACGCUCCACCAAAGUAGUCCCCGUCAACAGCCAUGACAUGCCGAGG
rnacentral:lncRNA from 1 species